GAUUGCCUCAGUAACGGCGAGUGAAGCGGCACAAGCUCAAAUUUGAAAUCUGGCCCUCUCCGGGGUUUGAGUUGUAAUUUGUAGAAGAUGUUUCGGGUGUGGCCCCGGUCUAAGUUCCUUGGAACAGGACGUCAUAGAGGGUGAGAAUCCCGUAUGUGACUGGGUGCCUAUGCCCAUGUGAAACUCUUUCGACGAGUCGAGUUGUUUGGGAAUGCAGCUCAAAAUGGGUGGUAAAUUUCAUCUAAAGCUAAAUAUUGGCCAGAGACCGAUAGCGCACAAGUAGAGUGAUCGAAAGAUGAAAAGCACUUUGGAAAGAGAGUUAAACAGUACGUGAAAUUGUUGAAAGGGAAGCGCUUGCAAUCAGACUUGCGCCUGGGCGAUCAUCCGGGGUUCUCCCCGGUGCACUCGUCCAGGCUCAGGCUAGCAUCGGUUUCUGUGGCUGGAUAAAGGCCUUGGGAAUGUGGCCCCUCUCGAGGGGUGUUAUAGCCCUCGGUGCAAUGCAGCCUACGGGGACCGAGGACCGCGCUUCGGCUAGGAUGCUGGCGUAAUGGUUGUAAGCGACCCGUCUUGAAACACGGACCAAGGAGUCUAACAUCUAUGCGAGUGUUUGGGUGUCAAACCCAUCCGCGUAAUGAAAGUGAACGGAGGUGAGAACCCUCAAGGGUGCAUCAUCGACCGAUCCUGAUGUCUUCGGAUGGAUUUGAGUAAGAGCAUAGCUGUUGGGACCCGAAAGAUGGUGAACUAUGCGUGAAUAGGGUGAAGCCAGAGGAAACUCUGGUGGAGGCUCGCAGCGGUUCUGACGUGCAAAUCGAUCGUCAAAU
rnacentral:rRNA from 1 species